AAAGAAAGCGUAAUAGCUCACUGGUCGAGUCGGCCUGCGCGGAAGAUGUAACGGGGCUAAACCAUGCACCGAAGCUGCGGCAGCGACGCUUAUGCGUUGUUGGGUAGGGGAGCGUUCUGUAAGCCUGCGAAGGUGUGCUGUGAGGCAUGCUGGAGGUAUCAGAAGUGCGAAUGCUGACAUAAGUAACGAUAAAGCGGGUGAAAAGCCCGCUCGCCG
rnacentral:rRNA from 1 species